UACGUAGGGUGCAAGCGUUGUCCGGAAUUAUUGGGCGUAAAGAGCUCGUAGGCGGUCUGUCGCGUCUGCUGUGAAAACUCAGGGCUUAACCCUGAGCUUGCAGUGGGUACGGGCAGACUAGAGUGCGGUAGGGGAGACUGGAAUUCCUGGUGUAGCGGUGAAAUGCGCAGAUAUCAGGAGGAACACCGGUGGCGAAGGCGGGUCUCUGGGCAUUAACUGACGCUGGAGGAGCGGAAAGCCUAGGGGAGCAAACGGG
rnacentral:rRNA from 1 species